AUUGUAACGUGUGCUUUGGACCUCAUUAAUUUCACUUCAAUUUAACCCUUCCGCUGUUCCAUCUCUGAUAAUUGAAAUGGUGUUAAUUAUGAAGCGAUCUACCGUUCAGCGGUACGUGCGUCGUGGUAAUCAGAUGCCCCGCACCAAACUGUCGGAAGGUCGGCAACUCCGGGACGUUGCUGUCCCUCCAGCCGGGGUGCACCGAUGAAGCCGGGACAUUAUGGAUUUCAGUUUUUAUUUAUUUCCAAAAUGAAACUCCACCCUGCUAUAUCGAGAGAUACCGGCCACAUGACAGAUGCACUGCCACCUGGCUGUUCGGAGGACACACCACAUGCCAAUCAACAUUUGGUGCACUGCCACCUGGCGGAUCGGAGGACACAUCACAUGCCAAUCAACAUUUGGUGCACUGCCACCUGGCGGGUCGGAGGACACACCACAUGCCAAUCACCAUUUGGUGCACUGCCACCUGGCGUUCGGAGGACACACCACAUGCCAAUCACCAUUUUGUGCACUGCCACCUGGCGGGUGGGAGGACACACCACAUGCCAAUCACCAUUUGGUGCACUGCCACCUGGCGGGUCGGAGGACACACCACAUGCCCAUCAACAUUUGGUGCACUGCCACCUGGCGGGUCGGAGGACUCACCACAUGCCAAUCAACAUUUGGUGCACUGCCACCUGGCUGUUCGGAGGACACACCACAUGCCAAUCAACAUUUGCUGCACUGCCACCUGGCUGUUCGGAGGACACACCACAUGCCAAUCAACAUUUGUUGCACUGCCACCUGGCUGUUCGGAGGACACACCACAUGCCAAUCAACAUUUGGUGCACUGCCAGCUGGCUGGUCGGAGGACACAGCACAUGCCCAUGAACAUUUGGACCCUCCCAACUAAUCAAUGCACACCUAAAUUAUUGUUCACCUUAAUUGGAUUAUCUCGCCCAGCCCCAUGCUAUACAAGGUGAGACUUGUCCUUGGCUCGCUCUCUCUUACAGACCACCUCAUUGCAGGUAAGAGCAUUGAUUUAUGUUUGGGAAGGUCUAUCGUUUGUCCUGGUAAGGGAGCCGCGGCUAUCCAAGGUCAAGGGGGAUAGCUAUCGUAGUGUUUUUCCCUUGUUCUUUGUGUAACCGUACCCUGUCCCCACACCGCUUCCUGUGUAUUGUAGUUGCUUGUCUUGACCCGACUUCCCCUUGUAAAUAAAUCCCUUAUUAUUAAAACUGUGUGUGUCCAGGCCUCUACUGUUGAGACUCAAAGAACCAGUUAUUUUCCAUCACAACCCCUGCAUAGCGUUGGAAGAAUGGUGGGUAUUCAGAUAGUUGCAACUGAAGAUAAUUCUGUGUUGAUGCUUUUUUUUUCCUGAAAACUUCUUACAGUCAAUUUAACGGCGAUCGUGAUCCUAUCUCGGGGGAAAAUGCGGACUCUCCAAAUGCAUCACCCGUUACCAUGCUGGAAUGGCGACAGCGGAUCUGAUGGUGGUUCUCCGUUUCGCUUUGGUGGAUCAGACUAACAAAAUCUGCAUUUAUUCCAGAUCCCUGCUCCUCACUCCUGUAUGCCCUCUGGCUCUUGUAUUUCACGUUGUCACCGGGGACUGUUCUGUUUGGUUUACAGUCAGUUUUACUUUCGAUCGUUUCAUCGCGAUAAACCGGAAUCCUCGGGAACGAUACUGCACUGAGAGAACAGCAAGAGUCGUCAUGGUGACUGUUGUUAUAGUGAGCUGCGGGAGAUGUGUCCCGUUUAACUUUGCUGUUGAACCUUACGUCAUCACUGACAACACGUCGUGGCGGUGCGCCCCCGUGUGGAGAGGAAACGAAGUGUUGGACCGCAUUUUAACACUGUUGCUACCUAUCGGCUUAAUUCUGGUGUUCAAUGCGUUAACAGUGAGACCUAUCAUUGUGGCAAAUAGAGUCCGCAGAGGUCUUCGGAACAGCAGUGAAAAUCAGCAGGAUACCGAGAGAGAAAACCGCAGAAAAUCGAUGAUUUUGUUGUUUGCUGUAUCAGCUAAAUUCAUUUUAUUUUGGAUACCCUAUGCAGGUCAUUCCUUGAAAUAGCAAACGGAAAACUAUUUGUAUCAGGACAGAUAUUUGAAUUCCCCGGUAUAUACACUACAACAACUUGGGUUCAUGUUGCAAAUUCUGAAUAUGUGCACCAAUACUAGUAUCUACACACUGACACAGAGGAAAUUCGGAAAGGAACUGAAGAAUGGAAUGAAGGAAUAAGUGGUGAAAUUUGACGAGCUGUGUCGAUAGGAUUGUCUUUGUUCGGGGAACGGAAAAGCGGUACUGUGGACGAUACCGAGAUUCCUCGAUGGUGUGCGGUCGUUAUCGUCACCAGGAUAUCGGCGGACAAGGUCGAAUAUCUACACAAAAAGCGGUUAGAUCUUGUCUUCGGUCUUUGUUUCACCGCAGUUGACCUUGUAGCAAUCACUAUUCUCUGCCGAGGAAAU